AAGAAAAACUCAUCUCCUCCUUUCCUUUCUCCCAUCACCUCUCUCUCCCUCUCUGCCUUCCCUCAUUGUCCUUUCGACCAAGUACGCCUCCGUCCGUCCGUCCCUCCCUCCCUCCCUCCCCGUGAUUCUCAAACUCGAUUCGCUCAUUCUCCUUCGAUCAGGGUUGAAAUUCGGAAGGAAGAUCUUCCAAAGUAUGAAGGGCAACUAGAACUAAAAAAUUACCAAAGCCCAACUGGUGCCCUUGAGUUGAAGCAAUGGAUGCUCAGAGAAAGAGCAACACGCGAGCUUUGCCCUAGUUCUCAAUAAACUCUCAGACCUUGCUAAGAUGGUGAAACCCCAGGAAGAAGAUGGCCCCUCUGCUGCCCCCUUCCUCGAGAAGAGCUACGAGAUGGUGGACGACGAGAAUACUGAUUCGAUCAUCUCGUGGGGCGGCUCUGGCGACUCGUUUGUGAUAUGGGAUGUGACCCAAUUCUCUGUCCAAUUGCUGCCCAAGUACUUCAAGCACAGCAACUUUUCUAGCUUCAUGCGCCAGCUCAAUAUCUAUGGAUUCAGGAAAGUCGAGACAGACCGUUGGGAAUUUGCAAAUGAUGGAUUCAUCAGAGGCAAAAGACACUUGCUAAAAAACAUUAGUAGGAGGAAGCAUCCUCACUCCAACGAACCGAAAAAAUCGUCUCACCCUCAACAAUCAGACAACUCAGUGAGAUCAGUCAAUGGAGUUGACAGCUCACGACUUUUAAAGGACGUAGAAAAUCUCAAGAAUGACAGGAAUGUUCUCAUGCAAGAGUUUGUUAAACUGAGACAGCUCCAGGAGACGUCGGAGAAUAAGUUACUUGUGCUGAGAGAGCGAGUUCAGGGGAUGGAAAAGAAUCAGCAGCAGAUGUUGUCCUUCUUAGUGAUGGCCAUGCAAAAUCCAGGGUUUCUAGUUCAGUUGUUCCACCCAAAAGAAAAUUACUUCCCGAUGCUAGAGCAAGGAGGAGUCAUUAACGGGGGGAAACAGCCUCAAUUAUUCUCUGAUGGAAGGCUACUGAGUUAUGAGUCUGUGCUGAAUGGGUUACCAAAUCCUGAGUUUUCUUCAUGUUCAGGGUCUAGGAAAGCCAGUGGGCCCAAUUCGGAUCAAACAUUUGACGGCACAAAAGAUGCUUUCUUGGGUAUUGACUUAAUGAAGAUGCUCAUGGAUGAGACAUCAAAGUUCACUUUAGAUGGGUUUAUUAUCCCUGAUUUUCCUGAUGAUGGAUCAUGGAGAGAGCUUCUUUUGGCAAGUCCUUUCAUCACUGAAGAGACAGAGCGAGGCAAGAAAGGGCCCACUGGCCCCACAAUCUGCGACACUAACAUGACGGAGUCUCAUAGUUUUGAGCAAUUGAUGGAACAAAUUGGGAGAUCUCAGGGACUUGAUGGUAAUGAAGCUGAAUUUGAUGGAGCUGAUUCAGAGGACAAUGAGACCAUGGAUUCACUGACUGAGCAAAUGGAGCACUUGGAUUCUGGAACCAACGGCCCUUCUUGAGCCUCAUACUACGUAAGAGUUGGAGGACAGCUUCGGGAGUUUCGCAUAGUAUACAAUACUAAUUAAUAUUUGAAGCACGUAAUUCUGUUCAUGUGCUUAUAAGGAAAUAUAGUAGGGAAGGUGAUGGGGGACCUUUCCAUAUGCAACAGCUGAUGGGGGGAACAUGGAAGUACUCCUAUCUUGUAUUGAGGAUAUCAUAUCUUCAUGAAAACUCUUCAUAAUCAUAUAGCUUUUGAGAGAGAUCGUUACACGAUUUCUCAAAUGUGUAUGCCACGCCUUGUGUGUGUGGCUACGCUGUCAUUAUUAAUGACGUAAUUCAUAUUAGUUAUUCUCGUUCAAUGCAGAGGAAAGUCGGUAAAGAAAGUCACACUUGCUAUGUCUGCUAUUACAGUGUACAUUUCUUUGCGGAAAUAUUGUCGCUGUUAAGCUCUUGCAUAUAUAAGAACACUUCAUAUCGAACAA